UAAGAUGUAGCUAAAUUUAAGUACUCCGUUUACACUGGGGUGAUUGCCGUUGAGGUACUUCUUAA
rnacentral:tRNA from 1 species